GAUGAACACUAGCGGGAGGCCUAACACAUGCAAGCCGAGCGGUAUUUCUUCUUCGGGAGAGAGAGAGCGGCGUACGGGUGCGGAACACGUGUGCAACCUGCCUUUAUCUAGAGGAUAGCCUUUCAAAAGGAAGAUUAAUACUCUAUAAUAUAUUAAUUGGCAUCAAUUGAUAUUGAAAACUCCGGUGGAUAGAGAUGGGCACGCGCAAGAUUAGCUAGUUGGUGAGGUAACGGCUCACCAAGGCAAUGAUCUUUAGGGGGCCUGAGAGGGUGAUCCCCCACACUGUUACUGAGAAACGGACCAGACUCCUACGGGAGGCAGCAGUGAGGAAUAUUGGUCAAUGGGUGCAAGCUUGAACCAGCCAUCCCGCGUGAAGGAUUAAGGUCCUAUGGAUUGUAAACUUCUUUUGUAUAGGGAUAAACCUACCCUCGUGAGGGUAGCUGAAGGUACUAUACGAAUAAGCACCGGCUAACUCCGUGCCAGCCGCCGCGGUAA
rnacentral:rRNA from 1 species